ACAGCAGUAGCCGCGGUAAUACGAAGGGUGCAAGCGUUACUCGGAAUUACUGGGCGUAAAGCGUGCGUAGGUGGUGGUUUAAGUCCGUUGUGAAAGCCCUGGGCUCAACCUGGGAAUUGCAGUGGAUACUGGGUCACUAGAGUGUGGUAGAGGAUAGUGGAAUUUCCGGUGUAGCAGUGAAAUGCGUAGAGAUCUGGAGGAAUACCGGUGGCGAAGGCGGCCCCCUGGACAAAGACUGACGCUCAGGUGCGAAAGCGUGGGGAGCAAACAGGAUUAGAUACCCCCGUAGUCCCUGUCUCUUAUAC
rnacentral:rRNA from 1 species